ensembl:snRNA
AACUAGGGCUUCUGCCGUUAGUGGCACAUGGAGAGGGGGGCUGUGGCCUAUCCCCUUUCUGUGCGGAAUCGCUAUCAUGAGACUUCGGAAGCAUAAUUUUUGGCAAAGGGGUAGCUGGUAAUCGUGUAUUCUGGAAAUUCA